AGAGUUUGAUCAUGGCUCAGGACGAACGCUGGCGGCGUGCUUAACACAUGCAAGUCGAGCGGAAAGGCCCUUCGGGGUACUCGAGCGGCGAACGGGUGAGUAACACGUGAGCAAUCUGCCCUUAGCUUUGGGAUAGCUCCGGGAAACCGGGAUUAAUACCGGAUAUGACUGCGGCUGACAUCGGUUGUGGUGGAAAGAUUUAUCGGCUAGGGAUGAGCUCGCGGCCUAUCAGCUUGUUGGUGGGGUAAUGGCCUACCAAGGCGACGACGGGUAGCCGGCCUGAGAGGGCGACCGGCCACACUGGGACUGAGACACGGCCCAGACUCCUACGGGAGGCAGCAGUGGGGAAUAUUGCGCAAUGGGCGGAAGCCUGACGCAGCGACGCCGCGUGCGGGAUGAAGGCCUUCGGGUUGUAAACCGCUUUCAGCAGGGACGAAGCGUGAGUGACGGUACCUGCAGAAGAAGCGCCGGCUAACUACGUGCCAGCAGCCGCGGUAACACGUAGGGCGCAAGCGUUGUCCGGAAUUAUUGGGCGUAAAGAGCUCGUAGGUGGUCCGUUGCGUCCGCUGUGAAAAUCCAGGGCUUAACCCUGGACUUGCAGUGGAUACGGGCGGACUAGAGGUAGGUAGGGGAGAAUGGAAUUCCCGGUGUAGCGGUGAAAUGCGCAGAUAUCGGGAGGAACACCGGUGGCGAAGGCGGUUCUCUGGGCCUUACCUGACACUGAGGAGCGAAAGCGUGGGGAGCGAACAGGAUUAGAUACCCUCGUAGUCC
rnacentral:rRNA from 1 species